rnacentral:rRNA from 1 species
AACGAACGCUGGCGGCGUGCCUAACACAUGCAAGUCGAGCGCGAAAAGGGCAACCUGAGUAGAGCGGCGCACGGGUGCGUAACACGUGGGUAAUCUGCCUUAGAGUCGAGGAUAACCUUCCGAAAGGUUGGCUAAUACUCGGUAAGCUUACGGUUGCUUCGGACGCUGUGGGAAAAGUAGGCCUCUGUUUACAAGCUUACGCUCUGAGAUGAGCCCGCGGCCCAUCAGCUAGUUGGCGGUGUAACGGACCACCAAGGCAACGACGGGUAGCUGGUCUGAGAGGACGAUCAGCCACACUGGAACUGAGACACGGUCCAGACUCCUACGGGAGGCAGCAGUGGGGAAUUUUCCACAAUGGGCGAAAGCCUGAUGGAGCAACGCCGCGUGUGUGAUGAAGGUUUUCGGAUCGUAAAGCACUUUCGACUGGGACGAAAAACCUUUGGCUAACAUCCAGGGGCCUGACGGUACCAGGAGAAGAAGCACCGGCUAACUCUGUGCCAGCCGCCGCGGUAAGAC